GUGUAAGGUAAUUGUAACUGUAGCGAAAAUUCAAAAUGGUCGUGAGCCGACGGGUGUUUUAAAUUGAUUGACGGGUGAUUUAAAUUGCAAAUUAUUAAGACUCACCUCACAUUUUCACGACAACACCACGCUGUAAGCCACCUUCUUGUCUAUUGAGCCCGUGAACCAGCCUAGUUCCUGGCCUUCUCGCUUCCGCCUCAUUAUUUUAGGGGGAAAUUGAUAAGGUUUGCAGGUUGACCGUGAUAAAGCUGUAUUAUUUGGAGACUGGGGAAACUGACAGCCCGCAAGUUCACGACAGCCUGUAACUCGUCCGCGCUUGGAAGGCCAGGGACUAGGCUGCCCGUGAACUAUACUUUCCAGUUGAUUACUUUAUAUUAGCCUAAUAUAGAUAAUCUAAACUUACAGAUGGUACUCACUGUGCUGAGCACCGACCCGAUCAUUAAGAAAACAUUUUUCUUUUUUCUCAAAAUUUGGCCGGACAAAAUUUCCGAUCAUUUCAGCAUUUGGUCGGAAAAAUCGGAAUUUGGUCGGAAAACCGCCGGCCGUUAUUUCAGGCUCUGUGUGAAAGGGGCGUCGCUAGCCCUAUUUAAAUGGGGGGGGGGGGAUGUAAGUUAAUUUUUGACGUUGGUGUCACCACCUCAUCCCCGCCUCUAGCGACGAACCUGUAGCUAUAAAUAGAACUACAUCUAUAAAUUCAAAACUAAAAUUCCUUAGAGGUUCUUACUUAUGUUACAGCAGAAUAUUUUUGGGGUAAGAAGCAGAAUAUUGCAGAAUAUUAUAUACGGCAAAAAAUAAAUAAUUAUAGCUUUGGAGUUUGAGGUACCCAGCUCAACCUUAUAGUCAGUAGCUCAACCUUAGUCACGCAGAGUGGAUUAAAUGCACAGCUCGUGGAUACAGAAUGGAAGCAGAAUAAGCAAGGAAGUUCAAAGCUGAAGCCCAAACGACAAAACAAGACAGACGCCAUCGAAGAAAACGAAAGAGGAACUGAACAUUAUAUAUUAAACACUAUCUUAAUUUAGUCUUACUAUUAUAAAGUUUCAGUCCCCUUGCAUGUGCAUAAAUAAUGGUACUUUUUCUAUAUAUGACAACUUAAUCAAAUUGAUGUGGCCUUUUUAUAUACAGUCACCUCUAUUACACGGACAUUUUGGAAAUUCCGCUGCUUAAAAAAGAAAAUUCCACACGCUAACAAGCUGAACGUAUUUGCAUAAAAAUUAAAAUCUCUCCCACCGAGUUUUAGAACUUGGUCGUGCUCCAAAGCUGAUUAAUAAACGCUAGAACAUAUUUUCAUUCAUCUUAUAACUUUUUCGAAAUUCGUAAGUUUUAUACUAAAGUUUAUGUUUGAGAAGAAAGUAAUUUGAUCGUCGUCAACUUAUUCUACUGAUGUACAGUUUUUUAUCAGAGUACAAAUAGCUGGUAUUUGCUUGGCUUAUGUCGCUUUGCAUGGGAUGAUAUAGAUAAUUGUUUAUUUGCUCGGUAAGUGCUUACUCAUCAUAUACUAAAUAGAAAUGACAGAAACUUUGAUAUAUUGAUAUAAUUAC